rnacentral:rRNA from 1 species
GACGAACGCUGGCGGCGUGCUUAACACAUGCAAGUCGAACGGUGAAGCGCCUUCCUUUUUGGUGGGUGUGGAUGAGUGGCGAACGGGUGAGUAACACGUGAGUAACCUGCCCCCUUCUUCUGGAUAACCGCAUGAAAGUGUGGCUAAUACGGGAUAUUCUGGGUCUGUCGCAUGAUGGGUCUGGGAAAGAUAUUGUUUCGGUGGGGGAUGGGCUCGCGGCCUAUCAGCUUGUUGGUGGGGUGAUGGCCUACCAAGGCGGUGACGGGUAGCCGGCCUGAGAGGGUGGACGGUCACACUGGGACUGAGACACGGCCCAGACUCCUACGGGAGGCAGCAGUGGGGAAUAUUGCACAAGGGGCGCAAGCCUGCUGCGGCGACGCCGCGUGGGGGAUGGAGGCCUUCGGGUUGUGAACCUCUUUCGCCAGUGAAGCAGGCCUGCCUCGUUUGUGGGUGGGUUGACGGUAGCUGGAUAAGAAGCGCCGGCUAACUACGUG